rnacentral:lncRNA from 1 species
UGAUCAAGUGAGAUGGCUAAGAACAAACUAUCUAGAGAAAACAUGUGCAACAACCCGAAGAGACUUUUAACCUACUUUCUCACAUCAAGUAAAUCUACCAUUUACAAGUGAAGAAAGACACAAACUGAACAUCAUGUCCGCAAUGUAGGAACCAUUUACAGUACCAAGCUAGUGAUGACAAAUCUUUUAACCAUCUACCACGUGCAAUAGAAAAGUGAAAUAUAAUUUGCCAGCUUCUUCUUCAAAGAAGAAUAUCAAUCAUCUGGUCAUCGUUGGUGUAUGUCACAACUCUGCUUCUCCUGGCAAAUUACAUCCAACAAAAGUAAGUAAGUUGGUUGGUAGUUAAUAGUACAGAUUAAGAGAAAUCAAGAUACAACAAGAAAUCUACAUUUUGAAGAAAUCAAGAUACAAAAAGAAUGUCAAAAUGGUUCAAGAAAUAUUUUGAUUAAUGGAUGAACGUCGUGUUAUAUUUGGAAAAGCAUUAGUGUUCUAUUUUGGGAGAGCUAACUUGUUGCAUUCCUACAAGGAAUUUCUCCUAGAAAUUUUUAAAAAAUACAACGUUCAUCUCUGCUCUCAAGAGAAAUGGACUUCUCAAUAGUUUCAAAAACAUGCAGGAAUUAUAAUUGCUUGUGAAUCUCUCCAUAGAGGUGGAGAUGACAUAAGUAUUGUGAACUGGAAAAGAAGUAAAUAUUUAUAGAGCUAAAUGGAUAGAUAAUUAUUUGUUGCAGACAAAGAAAUAACAUCAUUAAAUUGUCGAGAAAUAUAAAUUAGGACUGCAUGCCCAAGCGAUGCCUAUAAGUACAAUUGGUCUGUCACUUCAGAAUUCAUCCACAAGAUUCAUACAUGUACUGCUAAACUGUAGUAGCAUGGAAACUUUUCUAGCUCACUUGUGUGCAUUAAAAGAAUCUUUAUUUUGCCACUAUACAAACGUUAGUCUUCAAGUGGAGCGUAAAACAUAAAUAAUGUAACAACUAUGCAUCAAAGAAAUCAAUUACCAUCACUUGUCAUUCAUAAAAAAUAUAAAUCAUCUAUUGGGUUAGAGCACCGCAUGAACUCAGAAGAAGAUUAAUCACCAAUCUCAUUGGUCAUUUGCCCGAAUUUUCAUUCGUCUACAAAUAAUUACAUAUGACAAAAAAUAUUAAACAGGUUACUGAAACUCAUUACGCAUCUGAAACCAUUUAAAUUUCAGGAAACAAUGUAACAAGUAACAUCAUACAUUGCAAUGUGGGCCAUGAGAUUUCGCCAUCAUGAUUGAACCCUGACAGGUUGCUGUCAUUGCACACAUGAACAUGUGUUAGUUAUCGUAUAUUGCAGCCGGCAACAGAGCAUGAUAUUUUAAAUAGAGAGCUUCUUACACUGAUGUUCCACAGCACGCCACACCAGGAGCAGUAGCUCGGGCAUGCCCCGUCGCUGGACCUGUCAUACAAAAUGUUGCGAACACCGUGGAAGGAUUUAUUGAUCUCUAGCAGCGUUCGUCCUGAAAACUUGCAGAAUCACAGUUGAUUAGUAGAAUCAGCAGCAACAAAAGAAUAUGACAUCAUGAUAAAUCGAGUUAACCGAGGCACUUUUGUGCCGCUUCAUUGGUCAUACCCUUCAGGAGCACUUAACCAUGUGUUUUGCAAUGCAACUACAAGAUCACAUGUAGGUGAGCAUGAAUCCCAAGUUGAUUCAGGCAGCCAUAGUCGAGGCAGCACGGAGUAGGGGCGUUGACCUGCCGAUGAGGCCCCGUGAUCCACGAGAGUCAAAUCCCCUCGUCGUGUCGCUGUCGUCCGUGUCCAGUUCUCCAGAGUCGUCACUGCCUUAAGCGAUCCCCCUCCUCCCACUAGCCUUUCCAUCGUUCCACCGAUUUUUUUUUCAAUCCCCCAUAAACCAGACGAUAAACCAGCAGAUUAGUUUAAUAAAAACCCCUUAGUACAUCGUCUUCUAUGGCUAAAAGUCUUCCCACAGGUCCUCCCACCGUCUCAACGCCUCACCCACGACGCUCACGAUCGCCCACGCCGCCGCCCCGCCGCCCAGGUUCCCACCUCCAUCACAACUCCCCGCAGCACCGCCGCCGGAGGGCCGGCCGGCAAACCCGCACGGCGCCCAAGGGGAAGGUGACGGCACGUGGCAGUGUGGCGGUCUCGUUCCCCUCCCGCCCCACCCCACCAACCCCCUCCAACAUUGGGACACCACCGGGUCCCCCCUCCAACGCCGCCUCCCUCAUCUCCGGUGACGGGAUCUGGCGAAGCUCCUUCCCCACCCCGCCGCCGCACCUCACGCCCGUCUCCUCCGGCCAGCCUCCGCCCGCAACGUCCCCCCUCCCGUUUUUAGAAGGGAAGGGAAGGGAAGAGAAGAGGGAGAGCGAGCAGGUGAGGCGACGACCAUGGCGCUCGCAGAUCCGUCGGCCCCGUCGUACGUCCUCGGCCGCGCGUGAUUCUGCUUAGUGGCGUGACGGGGUGCCUGCUCCGCGCCCACGCCAUGGCCGUCUCGGGACGCCGCCAUCGACCUUGGACCACACCCCGCCGCCAUGGAUGCACAAUUCUCCUCACCCGGGCCAUGUUCUUCUUCUUCUUCUCUCUCUCUCCCCUAAUGUGUUUCGAUUUGGUCCUGAUGUGUUUCGAUUUGGUCCUGAUGUGUUUCGAUUUGGUAGGCCUGCCUCUUCUUCUCUCUCUCCCCCUAAUCUUGCUGCUCAGUUAGUCAACAAAUGAGAUGUUAAGAUAGUUCACCUGGUGUGAACAGGUCGACGGCAGUGGCAGCAGGCGGCGCAUGCAGGGCUCGGGCAGCGCCCCGACGUCUCACGCACGAGCUGCCUUUCGAGCUGCUACAGGUCGGCAAGCUGAGCAAGGUAGUCAAUCCUUCACAUGCAUGUUUAUUUGGCAUCCUGUAGUCAAUCCUGUACGAGUCCUCUUUUGUCAAGAUGUAUGUGGUAAUCUGUAGUCCUCUUUUGUCCUGUAGUUAGCUGUAUGUGGUAAUGUGCAACCAACUGUAUCUAAUUUCUUGUACUGCAUGAUUAUUACUAACUAACUAACUGUAUGUGGUAAUCUGCAACUAACUGUAUCAACUUUGGCUGCAUGUGUGUUAAAACAGAUUACCAUAUUUGGCAAAUAAAGUUGAACUAUACUUAUGCUUACUUCUGCUGCUCUAAUUUAUAGG